ensembl:lncRNA
UCCCGUUGAAAAAACUCAUUUUAAUAAGCAACACAAUCAAAUCGAUUUCAUAAAUCAGAUUGUUGAUAAUAAAAAAAAAGGGCCAUUCAUAAUUUUUUGGACAAAUCAUUCAUCAUAAAACUUUUUGUACCAUUUGAAAUGUUCAAGCUGAAUAUACACCGAUAGUCAUUUCCAAAAACAGAGGAGGGACCAUUAAGUUUGCAUUGUCAAUUAUGUUUGUAAGAUAAAUACGAGACCUUCCGUGUGUGUGUGAGCCAGAAAUGACCGUAAGUGGAAAGUGGGUGAAGAAACUAACUUUUAAGGGAAAAGCCAUGUUCUCAACACACACACACACUCAAGAAGCUGCCUGAUGUCAAAACAGAUCAAUCCAACAGCAGAACCACAGAAAGAGCUUUCAAGUCAAUUCUUCGACAUCCUUCUCUCGAUUGAAUUGAUGGUGAUGACAUGAUCUUUAAUGGAUAAAUAGCAAUAUAAAUGACAAUGGCUAUAAAAUAAAAUAUACACAUUUGACCGUCCUCAAAACUACUUGGCUCCUCUUUGGUCAACACUGAUAGAAGGAAUCCGAUAAAUCAUAAUAUGUACUUGAAAAAAAUACUAACACACAAUCUCACACACACAAUCACACACACACGCACACACACAACACAGACAAACCCUAAAAUAUAUUUCUGAAAUAUAACACCAUUAAGUUCUGCCAUUUUACAAAAUCAUUUUAGGCCCAGAAUCUUUUUGACGACACUUACAUUGCUCCAAUUGUAGUCACUCUAAAUAGUUCCGCUGUAACAAGAUGUGCUGCACUUUUACGGGGAGUGCAAUGUUAAACGCAACAGAGUUGUUUCAAACAUUCAUUUCCAAUUUGCAAAAAAAGGCAUCUUGAAAUUUCCAAUGUGUAUUUUUGUUUUUUUAAAUGUACAAUAAAGACUGGGGCUAGACAUGAUUGUCGCAAAAAACAUAACCCAUACAAUGCCUUUCGGUAAAAAAUACAUUAUCGUCAAUGAACACGGAAUUUGUUGAGCUGUACACUAUUCUUUUGAGAUCUCAGAAAGUCAGUGGGUGAAAUCAUAAUUAUUAUUUAAAAAGGAUUAAAAGUCCUCUGAACACCUCAAUCCAUCGUGUCAUGGGUCUGGACCGGACCGGUGGAGUGGAGGGCUCUUGGCAGUGGCCCCUUCACCAAACUAUUGGGGGGUGAGGCUCUGGGUGGCACCGGUGACAAAAGGGUCAGGUGAGUGGAGAGAGGGGGACAGUUCUGGGGGGGGGGGGGGUUCUGUUACUUUGGCCGUGCGUGGGCAGGAUAUGGAUCAACCCUAAACCAGUCUUCACAAAACCCUGCAAGAGAAGAAGAGCGAACAAGAAGAGCCAAGUCAGCC